rnacentral:rRNA from 1 species
UACGUAGGGGGCAAGCGUUGUCCGGAUUUAUUGGGCGUAAAGAGCGUGUAGGCGGCUUUACAGGUCCGUUGUGAAAACUCGGAGGCUCAACCUCGAGACGCCGGUGGAAACCGUAAAGCUAGAGUCCGGAAGAGGAGAGUGGAAUUCCUGGUGUAGCGGUGAAAUGCGCAGAUAUCAGGAAGAACACCCGUGGCGAAGGCGGCUCUCUGGGACGGUACUGACGCUGAGACGCGAAAGCGUGGGGAGCGAACAGG